CGCGGGGUGGAGCAGCUCGGUAGCUCGCUGGGCUCAUAACCCAGAGGUCGCAUGGUUCAAAUCCUGCCCCCGCUA
rnacentral:tRNA from 2 species